rnacentral:rRNA from 1 species
GAUGAACGCUGGCGGCGUGCCUAAUACAUGCAAGUCGAGCGAACAGACGAGGAGCUUGCUCCUCUGACGUUAGCGGCGGACGGGUGAGUAACACGUGGAUAACCUACCUAUAAGACUGGGAUAACUUCGGGAAACCGGAGCUAAUACCGGAUAAUAUAUUGAACCGCAUGGUUCAAUAGUGAAAGACGGUUUUGCUGUCACUUAUAGAUGGAUCCGCGCCGCAUUAGCUAGUUGGUAAGGUAACGGCUUACCAAGGCAACGAUGCGUAGCCGACCUGAGAGGGUGAUCGGCCACACUGGAACUGAGACACGGUCCAGACUCCGACGGGAGGCAGCAGUAGGGAAGCUUCCGCAAUGGGCGAAAGCGUGACGGAGAAACGCCGCGUGAGUGAUGAAGGUCUUCGGAUCGUAAAACUCUGUUAUUAGGGAAGAACAAAUGUGUAAGUAACUAUGCACGUCUUGACGGUACCUAAUCAGAAAGCCACGGCUAACUACGUG